UGGGGAAUAUUGGACAAUGGAGGAAACUCUGAUCCAGCAAUUCCGUGUGUGUGAAGAAGGCUUUAGGACUGUAAAACACCUUUAGCAGGGAAGAAAAAAAUGACGGUACCUACAGAAGAAGCAACGGCUAAAUACGUGCCAGCAGCCGCGGUAAUACGUAUGUUGCGAGCGUUAUCCGGAAUUAUUGGGCUUAAAGGGCAUCUAGGCGGUAAGACAAGUUGAAGGUGAAAACCUGGGGCUCAACCAUAGGCUUGCCUACAAAACUGUUGAACUAGAGUACUGGAAAGGUGGGUGGAACUACACGAGUAGAGGUGAAAUUCGUAGAUAUGUGUAGGAAUGCCGAUGAUGAAGGUAGCUCACUGGACAGAAACUGACGCUGAAGUGCGAAAGCUAGGGGAGCAAACAGG
rnacentral:rRNA from 1 species